CGAGGUUUCUUUAUCCAAAACACUUUAUGUAAAAAUUUUAACCGCUUCAGAUGACAAAUGUGAUCGAAUAACAGCACACAAAGGCUAAACGUCGUCCAGAGGUCAAACAGAGCCUCCGGGUUAGCCGAGCUGGCUAACGAAGACACCCGAUACAUCAGCUGGGAAUCGAACGUAAAGAAUCGAUUCUUCCAUGUACAGGCUGCUGAGGAGAGACGAGGAACAAGACACGGCAAACCUGGGGGUCACUACCGGCUUCACGUGAGCGUACUGACAUACACAGAAACAAAUAAACCAACGAUGAGUAUAGCAGAGACGCUCGCUUACACAAAAGUCAAACACGAUCGCGUGCCGUUAUCUAUAGGACAAACUCCAAGGGUUGAAAGGUCAACGUGUGUUUUGAAGAUACCUGCAAUCUGUCCGAGCAGGAGCGAGGCGUCCGUGUGUAUGGUGGCGAAGUAGCAGGCGGUCGUGGUGCCGUUGCAUAGAGUUCUUUUCUGCAAACAGACACCAACAAAGCAAAUAAAUUUCAGCCUGGUCUCACAUAUAGCCAUAAAAUGGGUUGAACCUCGAUUUAACUGACUUUUUAGCAAGGUCUU